CGAGAGUUAGGGCUAGGGCUAGCGAGCAGGCAGGUUCUGUGUGAUCGCCUGGUAGCUCGGUACGGCUAAGAGUGUGAGAGACCCGGACACGGACCAUGGACUUCGGAUUACCCUUUUCCCCUGGUGAUACCGAUUUACCCUGUGGUGGUAUCCUGCCCCUGCGAGGAUCAGCAGGCUACUUUCAGCUGUCGUCGCGACACCCCUGCAACCAUUACAGUUAUGGCAGAUAAGUUACCCCACUCACUUGCUCCUCUUUGUAACUAUAGGGGUUCUGUGGAGUUCCUUACUGAUGACCUCAACAAUGCCUUGUCUGCUGCCAUUGAUUCAGUUGUUCCGCUCGUAAUUAAAAAACAAUCAUUGAAAAAAACAGCUCCCUGGUUUAAUGCAGAAACGGGCACCCUGAAGCGAAGCUGCAGAAUCCUUGAACGCAAAUGGCACUCGACUAAACUUGAGAUAUUUCAUCAUGCAUGGCACAACAGUCUGCUCACCUAUAAGGGUGCGCUCAGUACUGCCAGGAACGCCUACUUUUCCAGUAUCAUCAACUUGAAUAGAAACAAUCCCAAGUUUCUUUUCAAUACGGUGAAGAGUCUGACAGAGUAGGAACUUUGCCCUGAAGGGCCAUAUUUUCGAUAAUGACCGGCGACGUUCUAUAUCACAAUGCACACAGCACCUCCCAGUGGGACGUGAUGGAGGGGUUGUGAGUUGGACCUGCUGCUUUGUAACUUCAGUAAAUGGGGAACAGUAAAGUGUUAAUAUCUUAAUUCCACCUUUACAUGAUACCAGUCGGACACCAUCAGUCCAUGGUGGUGAACAACAAGGAGUUUUCAGCGGUCCCUCCCUGUGAUUCAGCCCCCGUUUUGUGAGUCUGAAGGGGUCUCUGUCCUCUGCACUCUCUGUUCUAUCAACGUAUGAGUGAUUUAGCUGCUUUCCACUAUUAAAUGUAUUUAUAUGAUAGAUAGGCCUGAUAAUAAUCAUAGUUUGCCAUAAAAAGUAAUGGUUAAUUUCUUCCAGCACACACACACACACACACACACACACACACACACACACACACACACACACACACACACACACACACACACACACACACACACACACACACACACACACACACACACACACACACACACACACACACACACACACACACACACACACACACACACACACAUUC